rnacentral:rRNA from 1 species
UGGAGGCAGCAGUGGGGAAUAUUGGACAAUGGGGGAAACCCUGAUCCAGCAAUGCCGCGUGUGUGAAGAAGGCCUGAGGGUUGUAAAGCACUUUCAGUGGGGAGGAGGGUUGAUAGGUUAAGAGCUGAUUAACUGGACGUUACCCACAGAAGAAGCACCGGCUAACUCCGCGCCAGCAGCCGCGGUAAUACGGAGGGUGCGAGCGUUAAUCGGAAUUACUGGGCGUAAAGGGUGCGUAGGUUGUUGAUUAAGUUAUCUGUGAAAUUCCUGGGCUUAACCUGGGCAGGUCAGAUAAUACUGAUUGACUCGAGUAUGGGAGAGGGUAGUGGAAUUUCCGGUGUAGCGGUGGAAUGCGUAGAGAUCGGAAGGAACACCAGUGGCGAAGGCGGCUACCUGGCCUAAUACUGACACUGAGGCACGAAAGCGUGGGGAGCAAACAGGAUUAGAUACCCGUGUAGUCC